AAGAACGAUUGGCUGUUAUUGGAGCCUAUGCUGUGGCCUGUACUGUGGCUCUCAUCUCACCUCCUAGGCCUCAUGACAGUGCCUACCAGGAGAGCUUCCACCCAUGGGAUGCAUUUCCCAGUGACUCCAGUCUAUGGCCCCAGAGACUCCUUCAGCAGCUACUCAAGACUUUCAAAAUGCGUUUUCCAAGCUGGGCAUGCUGGUGUACACUUGUAAUCCCAGAACUCAGGGGGAUACCAUGGUGAUUGCAUACAUUACAGUGCUUCCUGGCAAGACCCUGUCUCAAAGACAAAAGGAAAAGGAAAUAGAAGAAUGCACAGUAUACACUUUCCUCCUAUUGAUGGAAGCUGUAUUCCAUGUUGUCUGUGGAAGGUAACAAUCUUUUAUUGCACCAGUACAUCUGACUGCAGCAUUACAGACAGGGUUUUGGGGGAGGGAAAUGACUAGGCUUUACUGUCAAUUACUGAGAAACAUCCGUUUGUCAUUUAACAUUUUUCUCAUAACGUUAAUGUCAUCAUUUAACGGACUCAGGACACUUCUACUCAACUUUCUAAGGAUGAGAGCAUGUGGAUUCUUUUACACUCUUUAUACCACUGGGCCUGUGGGUGGUACAUGUCCUCUGCUACUUCCAGAUCUUUCUUUCCUCUUUUCUUUGCAAAUUUUAGGCUUUUAAUGCUAUUUUGUGAGGCUGUAUUAUUGUACUUAGACUCUUAGUCUUUGCAAACAUUUAUUGUCUUCUAUUAUUUGCCUGAACCUCAUCUAAUGGCUUUUCUUCAUUGAAUCUUAAGCUCCUGGACUGCAGGCAUUUCAGCUAAUGUUAUUGUUUCAUUUGCAGUGAUUUUAGCAUCUGCAUGCAUGGUACUUCCAGUGCCCUAAUCCAUCUGUUAUAAUUCACUGUGGGUCUAAUACUGGCAUAGAUAACACUUCCAGCACUCUUCCUUCUGUAGACAGAA